rnacentral:RNase_P_RNA from 1 species
AAGACAGGUCGCGGCACCGCCUGACCACUAAAUCUUUGAUUGAGUGUUCAGGAGGAAAGUCCGGGCUCCGCAGAGCAUGAUGCCGGGUAAUAACCGGGGCCGCUGUUUUUGAUAUUCUCAAAAACAGCGGUACAGAAAGUGUCACAGAAAACAUACAGCCCGACCACCAAAAAUACCCUGUAUUUUUGGUGGGAAGCCACUAAAUCUUCGAUUUAGUGGCCGGGUAAAGGUGAAAUGGCGGGGUAAGAGCCUGCCUCGGAUCCAGUAAUUGAUCCGGAAUGACAAACCUCGUCUGGAGCAAGGCCAAACAGCAGGAGGCUGCUCGUCUUUUACCUGCGGGUAGGCUGCACAGAUUCCAUACGUAAGUAUUGGAACAAGAUAGAUGGUGCCGGUCGAUUACUGCUCUGCAGUAAUUGUUCACAGAACCCGGCUUACAGACCUGUCUUUUUU